GGGCCUAUAGUUUAAUGGUAGAAUAAAUCCAUGGCAUGGAUUAGGUGCCAGUCCGAUUCUGGCUAGGUCCA
rnacentral:tRNA from 1 species